CCCAGGUCCUUCUGACUCCCAGGCCCAUGGUCUAUCCACUAGGCCACGCUGCUUCUCACGUGAACAAGAGGAAGUAUGACAGUUUCUGAUUUGACCGGGCGGUGAAUUCCAGCGGUCCCUGUCCUCCAGGGUCACGGCUGUUAUAAACCCCAGAACGGGAACCUAGCUAGAACUGGGUAGGGGUCAAGCAGAAACCCCGUCCCUUCUGUGGCCUGAACAAAACGGAGGACUCCAUUCUUCUCGCCGAGCCCUUCCUCGGUGUCCUCUUCCUUCCCGGCCGGCUUUGCUGCGUGAAGCGAGAGUUACUCUUGGCUGGAUUUCCAAGGGAUUCUGGAAUGGUGGGGAAACAAGCAGAGUCGAUUUGCUGUUGGCAGAUGGUUGUUAUUCUCGGACCCUGGGGAGCAGGAGGAGGAAGAGAAAAGCAAGAUCAGAUGGAGCGUCUGUUUCUUCAGCUGGGCCCCGCCGACAGCAAAAUGUGUCUGAGUCACAGGAGGUCAAGUAACUGGCCGCGGGUCCUGUGAGUCACUGGUGAGCUUGCGCUGCGCAAGGGGAGGCCGGUGGCAGCUGGGCACCGGAAAGAAAGCCGCAGGUCCCGGCAGGUACCCGGCUGGGACGGAGGGGCCGCGGAUUCUACCGAGAUUGGACUUGGAUGGGCAGUUUCCCAGGAAACACCUGCCUGCAACAGGAAGCAGAGGCCCGGUUUCAGUAGGGGGAAACCUUUCCCCUCGGUUGAUGACAGAACUCACCAUUCCCCAUCGUUUGACUAAGCCAAAGUAAUUCAUCGAUUGAGGUGCCUUAGAAAAGAGGGAGCUGCUUUGUAGAGGGCCCAUCGGUCCCCGGGCAGUCAUUCCUCACAGAUAACACUUGCUCAGGCCUUUCCCCCAUCUGUAACCCCCUGCCCCUUCAAAUCCGCUAGGCUCUAGUCCUCCACGAGCCUUCCUAAAAAUCUCACUUCUUUUGGGAAGGCUUCCGUGACUAAUUCUCAACAUCCCAGUUUGCCCCAAUCCAACAACCACUCUGAGCCUUCCGUGUUUACACCCCCCUCACUGCUUACACAGAUCAAUCAACUAGUGUUUUGGAGCCCCUACUAAAUGCGGAGCACUAUUCUAAACACUUGGGAAGACAAGCUCCUUAACCUCUAGGAUCUUACAGUCUAGUGGAGGAGAAAAUAAAUAAUUGAUAGGAGGAACAAGGGAAUGAGAAGAUAGGGAUGUGUCAGAGUAAAUGGUUUCAAUUAUUACCUAUUUCAUUGAGACAUACUCUUCCUUGUUCUUCCUGCUCGCAUUAUUUAGGAAUGAUUUGCAUCUGCUGACAUCCUCCAUUAUAUUAUAAGAUCCUGGAGGACAGGGACUGUGUCUUUUCCAUUUACUUUACCUAGCCACUUAGAAGGGUGCUCAAUAAAAGAC